rnacentral:rRNA from 1 species
ACUGCUCAGUAACACGUGGAUAACCUGCCCUUGGGUCCGGCAUAACCCCGGGAAACUGGGGAUAAUUCUGGAUAACGCACAUAUGCUGGAAUGCUUUAUGCGUAAAAUGGAUUCGUCUGCCCAAGGAUGGGUCUGCGGCCUAUCAGGUAGUAGUGGGUGUAAUGUACCUACUAGCCAACAACGGGUACGGGUUGUGAGAGCAAGAGCCCGGAGAUGGAUUCUGAGACAUGAAUCCAGGCCCUACGGGGCGCAGCAGGCGCGAAAACUUUACAAUGCGGGAAACCGUGAUAAGGGGACACCGAGUGCCAGCAUCAUAUGCUGGCUGUCCAGGUGUGUAAACUACACCUGUUAGCAAGGGCCGGGCAAGACCGGUGCCAGCCGCCGCGGUAACACCGGCGGCCCGAGUGGUGAUCGUGAUUAUUGGGUCUAAAGGGUCCGUAGCCGGUUUGGUCAGUCCUCCGGGAAAUCUGAUAGCUCAACUAUUAGGCUUUCGGGGGAUACUGCCAGGCUUGGAACCGGGAGAGGUAAGAGGUACUACAGGGGGUAGGAGUGAAAUCUUGUAAUCCCUGUGGGACCACCUGGUGGCGAAGGCGUCUUACCAGAACGGGUUCGACGGUGAGGGACGAAAGCUGGGGGCACGAACCGGAUUAGAUACCCGGGUAGUCCCAGCCGUAAACGAUGCUCGCUAGGUGUCAGGCAUGGCGCGACCGUGUCUGGUGCCGCAGGGAAGCCGUGAAGCGAGCCACCCUGGGA